GCCGGUGCAGGCAGCGCCGGCGGCGCCGACAUUGGACAAGGACGCGAUUACUGGAACUGGUACUGCGCGCUGACGCCCAGGAUCCAGUUGCGGCCAGGAGCCGCUUCGUAAUAGCGGCGAUUGGUGUCGCCCACGAUGACGGAGCCGACGUAGUCGCGGUCGAACAGGUUGUUCAGGCGAGCGAACUGGCGCAGCUUCCAACCGCCCAGUUGCUGGCUCGCCUGCACGCGGGCGUUGACGAUCGCAUAGCCCGGCGCCGGCGUGGCGCUGUUGGUGUCUUCGGCGUACACGCGGCUGUUGGCGAUGGUCUCGAGCGCCGCGCCGUAGCGGCCGGCCGCUUCCUUCCAACCGAAUUCGCCGUAGAAGCUGGUCUUCGGCAGGCCGGGCAGGCGGCUGCCUUUCGGCACCGCGCCAAAGGCCUCGUCAUAGACCGCGUGCAGCAUGCUCAGGGCCAGGCGCGCAUUCCAGCCGGCGCCGAGUUCGGCGUCUACCGACAACUCGCCGCCCUGGCGCAGGGUGGCGCUGGCGUUGCGGUAGCUGGUGCGUCCGCCCGAUGAGGCGUCGACCACCAAUUCGUCCUUCGUCUUCACCUGGAACACCGCGGCGUUCACGCGCACGCCGCUGGCCACCAUGGCUUUCACGCCGGCUUCGAGAUGGGUGCCGAUCGCCGGUUCGAGGGCGAAAUUGAAGCCGCCGCCGGUGCCCGAAUAGAACGAUUCGUUCAUGGUCGGCGUCUCGAAGCCGCGCGCCGCGCUGGCGUACACGUUCAGGGUCGGCGACACUUUAUAGAGCACGCCCACCAGCGGCGUCGUGUGGCGGAAGUCGGCGCCGCCGCUGUCGUCGCCGUUGGAGAGGAAGUUGUCCUUGACGUCGAAGUCCACGCGGCUAUGGCGCACGCCGCCGCUCAGCACCCAGCGGUCGCGCUCCCACUCCAGCUGCACGUAAGGAUCGACGCUGGUCACUUCGUUCUGCUCGUCGCGCCGCAGGUUGCCCUUCACGCCGAAGGUAUCGCCGACGAAGUUUUCGAAACCCUGGCGCGCAUCCUUCGAGCGCGCCAGUUCCAGGCCGGCCGUGGCGCGCAUGGCGCCGCCGGCGACCUGGCGCACCGCGCGCCAGUUGGCGUCGAUGCCGUAGAAAUCGCGGUCGAAGUCGAUCACGCCGCCCGAGUGGCUGCUCGGCGCCUGGAAGCCGCGCGAGAACGACUGGUACUGGAUGACGCGGCGGUUGCCGCCGUAGGCGGUCACCUGCAGGCGGUCGGAGCCGAACGUCUGUUCAUACGUCGCGCCGAACUGCUGGUGGUCGAUGCUCUUGCGCGUGUCGUAGCGAUCGGCCAGCGUGCGCUGGGGCGUCUGCGUGUCGGUGGCGUCGAUCUCGCCCGCGCGCGGGUCGCGCUGGUAGGUGGCCCAGGUGACGCCGAGCGGGUCUUGCGUAUCGUCCUGGCGCAGGCCGCUCGCGGUCAGCACCAGGCGGCUGGUCGACGAGGGUUCGACGACCAGCUUGGCGUAGGCCUGCUUGCGCGUCGCGGCGCUGUGGUCGCGGUAGCCGUCGGUCUCGAAACGCGAGGCAUCGAGCAGAUAGCCGAUGCCGCCGCUGCGGCCGGAGGCAUUGGUGUCGAACUUGCGCUGGCCAUAGCUGCCGCCGGUGAAGCUGGCUUCGACCGUGGGCGUAUCGGUCGGUUCGCGCGUGAAGAGCUGGACCACGCCGCCGGAGUGGUUGCCAUACAAGGCGGACAUGGGGCCGCGCAGCACUUCGAUGCGCUCGGCCAGAUCCAGGUUGAAGGUCGCGGCCUGACCUUGGCCAUCGGGCAUGGUGGCCGGGAUGCCGUCCGCCACGAGGCGCACGCCGCGCACGCCGAAGGCGGAGCGGGUGCCGAAACCGCGCGAAGAGAUCUGCAGGUCUUGCGCGUAGUUCUCGCGAUUGCGCACCACGAUGCCCGGCACGGCGACCAGGGCUUCGGAGGCGUUGACGCGCAGCUGGGUGUCGCCGAUCUGCGCCGCAUCGACCACGUCGACCGAGGCCGGCAGGUCGAAACUCGUGUGCUCGGCGCGGGUGCCACUGACCACGACCACGUUCAUCGGGUCGCGAAUCUCUUCGGCAAGGGCGGCCAGCGGCCAGCAGGCGCAGACGGCGGCGAUCGCCGUACGGCGCAAGACGGUGUGAUUCAUUAUUUCUCCAUGAGUGCGUAGCAAGCGCGAGAAGGGAAGGCCUUGCCAAUCAGCCAAGGAAUAUACCUUGCAAGGGAGUAUUACGUGCGCACAGAAACAAUUCGGCAAACUGAUGACUUGCUGAAAUGCGGAUAGAUGUUUCGAUCAGGGUCUUGCGGAACCCUGUCGAGGUUUGCUAUAGUUCGCGUCCGCUUCGGCAACGGCCGAAAAAUGUUAACGUAAUCAAGUGGUUACGAUGGCAAGGUCGGCAGAGAAAUCUGAGACGAAGCGAAAUGAGGGGUUGACGAGUAGCGCGAAACACUGCAUAAUCUCAUUCCUCUGCUGCUGACGAACACAACGAUUCGCAACGAUGCAGCAAGAAGAAGCACCGAAUUCUGAUCUUUAAAAAUUAACAGUCGAUAAGUGUGGGCGUUUGAUGAAGGUGCCAGCUGACUUGUUCAGCUGCAUACUUAAAAUAUCAA
rnacentral:rRNA from 1 species